rnacentral:lncRNA from 1 species
AUGGGCGCGCUCUGGGCGGCGGCGGCGGUCUCGUGGGGACGUAGACCUUUAGCCAGAGGACUGCGAGGUCAAGUACCGGGAUCAGCAGGAUUAAACCGGGCCGGGACAGAUGUCCAGCAGUGUUUGCCUCACUUCCCUUCUCAGUGUGGUGCCCUUGAAGGAUGCAGCUCCCCUCGACCUGCUCGCAGCAACCAGAAGAAGUCCACUGAAGUCGAAGAAAAUACACUGGUGAGGAGAAAACAACACCUUAAUGCUCACUGUCCUCAUGUCAUCUACUCUUAUUUGAGUUUUCCUCCAAACCAACGAGCCCGACGAGGCCAGAAAAGAGAUCUCGCUAAUCUCUCCUUCGGUGUCAGCCCCGUCCUCUGUUCCUCCCUUGAAAAGAUGCUGUUUGUGUGACCGAAGCCCUUCGUUUCGCAAAGCCAUUUGUGCUGGUGGUGCUUAUCGACCAUGAGAUAAUUCAAACCCCACCCCCCUCCACCCGCAGCCUGCUCCAUG